CUCCCCUUCAGACACCCAGCUCUACAAGAUCAUUUUGCCUGGUGUGUCCCACAGACUGUAGUAUAGGCUGGUUCCUCUGCUUCUCAUUCCACUUGUCAGUUCUGUAGGCAGGAGGACUGGUACCCAGCAACAGCAGUCACCCACAAAGUAAUCUGGUCCUCUCAUGCACGUGGGCUGCACUCGUGGCUGGAAUAUCUGCAGCCAAGGUCUUGGCUCAGAAGUGAAUGGCUCAAGCCCAGAAAAAGGCAAAAUUCCUCCAAGAUGGAAAUCAGCCCCUAGGAACCAGGCAGAAUAGAGUAAUACAUGUUUUCCUAUGCCCUGAAAUCUGGGGAGCCUCAGCAAUGCUUAAGACCCAGCAACUUGGGCUCAGCCUUUCCUGAGCGGUGUCAAGUGCCAAAGGACAAACAUCAUGCUAAAGUCAAUUUCUGCGAAAGAGGUUACUGCAUAUGAAGAGAUGGCUGAACCUUCUGACUACAUCCUGAGAGCCUCAGGCCGCAGGAUUUGGGACACAUCUAUCCUGGUGCCCACAGAAUCAAGAAGCAAGAAGUCUGGACCACAAAGGCCUCUGGCAGUGCAGCUUAUCUCCUGGUCCAGGGAAGACAGUGGUCAUCCUAGCAGCACAUCAUUGUUCAGCUGACCCUCGCAUGUGGGCCUUCUCAAGAUGCCCUAUAUAACAUAAAGAUGAUUACUGAGGAUAAGCAGCUUGUAAAACCCCACCUCAUCCCCACUUCUGACGUGUCUUUCUGGCAGUAGUGAAUCCGGUGAACAACUCAUAUCAAACAUUUUUCUGCAAACAGGUCAGCUGAAAUGCCAGAAUCUAAACAAAGGCAACAAAGAAGGCAGGGUUGGAUGGCCAGUGCCGGUGUCACAUGCUCACACUCGAGAAUUCGCAAAGCAACCAUCAUUCAUGGCUACAGGGAGGCAGUGAAAGACUACAAUACAGGCUGUUGUAGAAAAACAUGAUGCCAAGCACAGAAAACUGAGUUAUGGCUGUCGUGGGAGUCUUACAUCUCAGCUCUUCAGCACAUGUCUCUGCCAAGGCUGCCUUGUGUGAUGGUUCGGGUCCUGUUCUAAGAUGAGAAAACACCACAGGAAUUCUCAGAGUGGGCUGCUUAGAGAGGCCUCAAUUACCCUAUUUGAGAUCCAAAGCUUCCCUGGGGAAAACUUUUACUUAGGUGGCUCCCAUGGGGAAAGUGGGUCACAUUCACCUCCUGCUCAGAAAACCCCGCCACACAGCUUUACAGCCCCCUUCUUACAGUCUUCCUCAACAACCUGUGGUGUGCUGGAGAUGGCUCACACAGAGGCUUGGCUUGUGAGAGCUGACUGUUAAAUUUCAAAAAUGGUGACAGCCAGCUGGCUUCACAUUAGUAGCCAUGGUGGGAGCAUUCACACCGAACACUACCAAUCAGCUCCCCUCCCACCACUCACAGCUCCACAACCCCCGGCCCCCCAGCAAUUGUUAAACAUUUACUAGUACGCCAAGGACCAACGACUCUCAAGCUGAAGUAUCAGGCUCCAUUUUCCUCAUAAGUCUUUGUGUUCUCUGGCCCUUUCCCCAAGAUCUUUCUGUUCUUCUCCUGGAUGUUCUCACGUAAUGGAUGCCACCCAGGGCCCCUAACAAUGUUGUUCCCCACAAACUGGGGUUCUCCUCUUAUGAGUGCUUCGAUCCUUUCUGGGAAAAUAAAGCUAGGCA
rnacentral:lncRNA from 1 species